rnacentral:rRNA from 1 species
AUCCUACGGGGGGCAGCAGUAGGGAAUCUUCCACAAUGGGCGAAAGCCUGAUGGAGCAACGCCGCGUGGGUGAAGAAGGUCUUGGGAUCGUAAAACCCUGUUGUUAGAGAAGAAAGUGCGUGAGAGUAACUGUUCACGUUUCGACGGUAUCUAACCAGAAAGCCACGGCUAACUACGUGCCAGCAGCCGCGGUAAUACGUAGGUGGCAAGCGUUAUCCGGAUUUAUUGGGCGUAAAGGGAAUGCAGGCGGUCUUUUAAGUCUGAAGUGAAAGCCUUCGGCUUAACCGGAGUAGUGCAUUGGAAAC